rnacentral:rRNA from 1 species
ACGAACGCUGGCGGCGUGCUUAACACAUGCAAGUCGAGCGGUAAGGCUCCUUCGGGCGUACACGAGCGGCGAACGGGUGAGUAACACGUGAGUAAUCUGCCCUUCACUUCGGGAUAACCACCGGAAACGGUGGCUAAUACCGAAUACGACCAGUCUUCGCAUGAGGUGCUGGUGGAAAGUCUUUUCGGUGAAGGAUGUGCUCGCGGCCUAUCAGCUUGUUGGUGGGGUAAUGGCCUACCAAGGCUUCGACGGGUAGCCGGCCUGAGAGGGUGACCGGCCACACUGGGACUGAGACACGGCCCAGACUCCUACGGGAGGCAGCAGUGGGGAAUAUUGGACAAUGGGCGAAAGCCUGAUCCAGCAACGCCGCGUGAGGGAUGACGGCCUUCGGGUUGUAAACCUCUUUCAGUACCGACGAAGCGCCCUGUCGGGUGGUGACGGUAGGUACAGAAGAAGGACCGGCCAACUACGUG